rnacentral:rRNA from 1 species
GUUAUAUAGUCAAGCAACUAAGCGCAUACGGUGGAUGCCUUGGCAGUCAGAGGCGAUGAAAGACGUGGAAGCCUGCGAUAAGGUUCGGGGAGCUGGCAAACAAGCUGUGAUCCGGGCAUUUCUGAAUGGGGAAACCCACCGACUUUCGGGUCGGUAUCUUACACUGAAUCCAUAGGUGUAAGAGGCGAACCGGGGGAACUGAAACAUCUAAGUACCCCGAGGAAAAGAAAUCAACCGAGAUUCCCUAAGUAGCGGCGAGCGAACGGGGAUUAGCCCUUAAGCUAAACAACUGGUAGGAGAAGGCUCUGGAAAGUGCCGCCAUAGUGGGUGAUAGCCCCGUAUCCGAAACCUGAGUUUAGUGAAAUCGAGUAGGACGGGACACGUGAUAUCCUGUCUGAACAUGGGGGGACCAUCCUCCAAGGCUAAAUACUCCUGACUGACCGAUAGUGAACCAGUACCGUGAGGGAAAGGCGAAAAGAACCCCUGUGAGGGGAGUGAAAUAGAUCCUGAAACCGUAUGCGUACAAGCAGUCGGAGCGGACUUGUUCCGUGACGGCGUACCUUUUGUAUAAUGGGUCAGCGACUUAUGUUCAGUGGCGAGGUUAACCGUUUAGGGGAGCCGUAGGGAAACCGAGUCUGAAUAGGGCGAUUUAGUCGCUGGGCAUAGACCCGAAACCGGGCGAUCUAUCCAUGAGCAGGUUGAAGGUGCCGUAACAGGCACUGGAGGACCGAACCCACUGUCGUUGAAAAGCCAGGGGAUGACUUGUGGAUCGGAGUGAAAGGCUAAUCAAGCCCGGAGAUAGCUGGUUCUCCCCGAAAGCUAUUUAGGUAGCGCCUCGGACGAAUACCACAGGGGGUAGAGCACUGUUUCGGCUAGGGGGUCAUCCCGACUUACCAACCCGAUGCAAACUCCGAA